GAUAUUUUUGGUGGUAAUCAAGCCCGGAGCGGGUUCUGUCUACAUCAUUUAGACUGACUAGGGUCGGUGUCUCUCUCUUCAGAAUCAGACUUUGAAGCCAAGAUGGAUAUGGCACACUUACCAUGUUAGAGGACUGUACAAGUGACAUAGGCAAGCAAUCUCCAAGUGUCAUAGGGGUUCUUGCAGUGCCCCCGGACUGAGGAACCGUACAAGACUUUUCGACCAAAGGACAAGUCUGUUCCUGCUUCGUUUUCGGUUCCC
rnacentral:lncRNA from 1 species